rnacentral:rRNA from 1 species
AGAGUUUGAUCCUGGCUCAGAUUGAACGCUGGCGGAAUGCUUUACACAUGCAAGUCGAACGGCAGCACGGGAGCUUGCUCCUGGUGGCGAGUGGCGAACGGGUGAGUAAUGCGUCGGAACGUACCGAGUAAUGGGGGAUAACGCAGCGAAAGCUGUGCUAAUACCGCAUACGCCCUGAGGGGGAAAGUGGGGGACCGCAAGGCCUCACGUUAUUCGAGCGGCCGACGUCUGAUUAGCUAGUUGGUGGGGUAAUGGCCUACCAAGGCGACGAUCAGUAGCGGGUCUGAGAGGAUGAUCCGCCACACUGGGACUGAGACACGGCCCAGACUCCUACGGGAGGCAGCAGUGGGGAAUUUUGGACAAUGGGGGCAACCCUGAUCCAGCCAUUCCGCGUGAGUGAAGAAGGCCUUCGGG